rnacentral:rRNA from 1 species
ACGGCUCAGUAACACGUCGAUAAUCUGCCCUUAGAUCCGUGACAACCUUGGGAAACUGAGGCUAAACAUGGAUAGGGGAAGGAGGCUGGGAUGCGCCUUCCCUGAAACGCAAGGUCUAAGGAUGAGUCGGCGGCUGAUUAGGUAGUUGGAGAGGUAACGGCUCACCAAGCCAGAGAUCAGUACGGGCCAUGAGAGUGGUAGCCCGGAGAAGGGUCCUGAGACACAGACCCUAGCCCUACGGGGUGCAGCAGGCGCGAAAACUUUACAAUGCACGAAAGUGUGAUAAGGGGAUCCCAAGUGCCCAUGUACUGCAUGGGCUUUUGCCAUGAGUAAACAUCUUGGCGAAUAAGUGGUGGGAAAGACUGGUGCCAGCAGCCGCGGUAACCCCAGCGCCACGAGUGGCAAUCACAAUUACUGGGCCUAAAGCGUCCGUAGCCGGCUUGAUAAAUCUCUUGUGAAAUCAUGGGGCUUAACUCCAUGACGUGCAGGAGACACUGUCGAGCUCGGGACCGGGAGGAGUCAGAGGUAUUCCGUGGGGAGCGGUAAAAUGCUAUAAUCCUCGGAGGACCACCUGUGGCAAAGGCGUCUGACUAGAACGGAUUCGACGGUGAGGGACGAAGGCUGGGGGAGCAAAACGGAUUAGAUACCCGAGUAGUCCCAGCUGUAAACGCUGCGAGCUAGGUGUUGCACAUUCUUCGUGAGUGUGCAGUGUCGUAGUGAAGACGGUAAGCUCGCCGCCUGGGAAGUACGGUCGCAAGACUGAAACUUAAAGGAAUUGGCGGGGGAG